UGCCCCCUCACCUGCCCCCUCUCAACACCGCUCACCUGCCCCCUCUCAACACCUCUCACCUGCCCCCUCUCAACACCUAUUACCUGUCCUCUUCUCACCCUCUCCUGUCCUUCCUUCAUACCUGUGCUCUCUUCACACCUGUCCUCUCUCCUCACCUCUCACCUGUGCUCUCUUCACACCUGUCCUCUCUCCUCACCUCUCGCCAGCCUCCUCUCCUCUCCACUCACCUCCUUCAUCACCAAACGUUCCUUCUUAUCACCCCUCACACUUAAAAUCCUCAAUAUUUUCUUAUUUUCAUCCCUCACCUUAUCACUUUCUCCUUCUCCCUCACCUCUCUCAUCUAAAAUGUCAAUGUCAGUGUUUUCCCUCAGGAUCAAGUGCCAUUUGUGCGGGAGGUAGCCUAGUGGUUAGAGCGUUGGGCCAGUAACCGAUUGAAUCCCAGAGCUGAUAAGGGAAGAAUCUGUCGUUCUGCCCCUGAGCAAGGCAGUUAACCCACUGUUCCCCGUGCCCCGAAGACUCAAGAGUGGUUGGGUUAAAUGCGGAAGACACAUUUCAGUUGAAGGCAUUCAGUUGUACAACUGACUAGGUAACCCCCUUUCCCCAUUUUAUGUACGCUCUGGAGCCGAGUGGACCAGGUCAACUGCCCCAUUGCCAACAUAAUAAAUAUCCACAGGGGCAACGUCGUAAACAGUACCCUGCAUGCGUUUCAACACAAAAACUUUAAUGCAGGGGCUAAGAUCGACGUUGCCUUUGUGGAUGCUGAGUCCAAUGUGGAGGGGGUAGUUGACCAAUGGGGUCCCUCCAGGGAGUAUUAGUGGAGGGGACAGUUGACCGAUGGGGUCCCUCCAGGGAGUAUUAGAGGCUCCUCAUGUGGGACAUCAGAGACUCAGCCAUCUUCGAGGGUCCGGAAGGAGCGAAACGGCUGUCGCUUGAUGUCCAUGGUAAGACUUCUCGUUUCUUUUUACCCGUAUUAAGGUCUGAUUUUCAUGUAAAGUACAGAAUUUAAGCCAAAACAUUUAGUGAAGAGUCUUUUUCAGGUGCUUUGUCCAGGGAAAUAUAUCAUAGGGAUAGUAAAGCUGGCACACAUUUGAAAUAAUCUUUUUAGCAUCACAUGAGGCCCUGUAUAGAACCAUUGGGAAAAUGAUCAGUGUGUGUGUGGUCCUUGGAGGGGUUGGGCCACACUUCUUCUCUGAGCGACUCUUUGCAGCAGUGUGUGGGAAGCCUGCUCCUCCACUCAAUCUGGAGGAGGUGAGCCACACUACUCUGAAAGCACAUUUGGAAAAUAUAAAAAAAGCAGAGGACCUAUCAGAGGUGAAGAACAAAUUGGAGGAAUCAGUAGACUGGCUGAGCCUACUGGGGCUGAAAAGGAUUGUUGUCAAGACAAUGGAGGACAGAGAUGGUGUGGUUGAAUUGGUGGCUCAACAAUUUGUCCAAGGGAGCAUGCAGGUGGCCUUGGAGCACAGGUUCAAAUAUGGUCUCAACUCUCUUGGGCUGCUGGAGGCAUCGGGGAACCACCCAGACAGCUUCUGAGCUCUUUUUGUUGACCCCAUAAAGCCUCCCACUGCCAGGGACCUGAGGUAAGCUAGUUGAGAACAAGUUCUCAUUUACAACUGCAACCUGGCCAAGAUAAAGCAAAGCAGUGAGGAGGAAGACAACAGAGUAUCACUUACUGAACAGAUGAGAGAAGUGGAGAGAACCAAUGAACAACUGAUGCAGGAGUUAGAGGCGGCCAGGAAGAAUAAUGUGAUAUCCUCCGGUACAGUGAAUUCCUUGUGUAGAACUCUGUCCAUAAAGGAAGGAGUGCUGAUCACUGCUAAAGGCCAGCAAGAUGCAUUGAGACAGCAGCUAAGGAACCAGUUGGACCAGCUACCGGCCAUGUCCAGGAAAAUAGUGAACAGGUUGGCCCAGCUACAGGCCAUGUCCAGGAAGAAAUUGAAGGACAGGUUGGUCCAGCUAUAGGUCAUGUCCAGGAAGUUAGUGAAGGACUGUUUGGACCAGCUACAGGCCAUGUCCAGGAAGUUAGUGAAGAACCGGCCAAACCUGGACAACUGUGCACCACCCCAUGAGUCUCCCGGUCGCGGUCGGCUGCGACAGAGCCUGGACUCGAACACAGAAUCUCUAGUGGCACAGCUAGCACUGCAGAGCCUUAGACCACUUCACCACUCAGGAGGAUUUAUAGACAUUUUUAUAUGAGAAUUCAUACUUUCUCAUCUUUUGGUUGCUAGAGACCCAGUCGUUCGUUCGAUUAGUUCUAUAUUUAUGGAUGUGACACAGUUGUUCAUUCUAUGUUCCGUUUCCAUGCUCACUGGCAUUGGUGGAGAAAGUACUCAAUUGUCAUACUUGAGUAAAAGUAAUAGAAAAUGACUCAUGUAAAAGUGAAAGUCACCCAGUAAAAUAGUAAUUGAGUAAAAGUAUAAAAGUAUUUGGUUUUAAAUAUACUUAACUAUCAAAAGUAAAUGCACUCCAACACACAUCAUUUACAAGCACAGCAUUUGUGUUUAGUGAGUCUGCCAGAUCAGAGGCAGUAGGGAUGUUCUCUUGAUAAGUGUAUGAAUUGGACCAUUUUCCUGUCAAAAUGCAACAAGUACUUUUAGGUGUCAGGGGAAAUGUAUGGAGUACAAAGUACAUUAUUUUCUUUAGGAAUGUAGUGAAGGUGAAAAAUAUAUAAAUAAAGUACAGAUACCUCAAAAAACUACUUAAGUAGUACUUUAAAGUUUUUUUACUUAAGUACUUAGCACCACUGCUCGCUGGCAACGUUCUUGUCCCUUGCUUGCUAGCUAGCCAACUAGCUACGGCUAACACAGUCACGACCUCUGUGUUAGCCAUAGCUAGCAAGCAAGGUAUAAGAACAUUGUUACUGAGCAUGGCAACAGAAAAUAAAUAUGUUUCGCGUCCAUAAAUAUCGAACAAACGACAGCGCCUCUAGCAACCUAAAGAUGAGAAAUAAUUAUGUUAUAAAAAUGAAAAUAUCAACGAAAUGUUAUUUCUACCAGUAAAUGUAUGCUUUAAUAAUGUUUUCUUUGGCAACUGUGGUAUAAGAGGAAUAAAUGCCUCUGUUUUUUACAUUACCUCGGAAAAAUGAACUCUCCGCAGGCGUUUAUCCCUUACUACAUGUCUUCCAGCAUGAAAGGCUGACAUUGAAGAUCAUCCAGGCUGUGUUAUCUUCUCCUGGAGCCCAACACCCCCAGACUGAAGUCAGUGAUCAGGCUCUUCUCCCCACCAUGCAGGGAACUCAAGCUGAGACUGUGGGAGUGAAAGCAGCAGCUUCAACACCACAGAAGAAGAUCUAAUGAGAGAAAGCAGCAGCUCCAACACCACAGAAGAAGAUCUAAUGAGAGAAAGCAGCAGCUCCAACACCACAGAAGAAGAUCUAAUGAGAGAAAGCAGCAACUCCAACACCACAGAAGAAGAUCUAAUGAGAGAAAGCAGCAGCUCCAACACCACAGAAGAAGAUCUAAUGAGAGAAAUCAGCAGCUCCAACACCACAGAAGAAGAUCUAAUGUCACACACAGAGGAGGGGCUAGUGACACAGCUGAAACUGGGACAAUGUUUUUAUAUUAUUCUUUAUCUAUUCAGGGCAAACCCAUUGAGACCAGGGUCUCAUUUCCAAGGUUACCCUGACCACAACAAUACAACAACCAAUACAAUGUAAAAGAAAGCAGCAAUCAAUAAAAAAACUAAAUGUAUGAAAAA